GCCCCUGUAGUUCAAUGGAUAGAACGAUUCCGUCCUAAGGAGGAGAUCCUGGUUCGAUUCCGGGUAGGGGCACUA
rnacentral:tRNA from 1 species